rnacentral:lncRNA from 1 species
AUGGGGUGCCUGAGCCCCAAGGGCAACAGAUCUAGUGAAAGAACUCACAGGUGGCUUUCUUACCAAGUUGGGCUCUGUACCCCGCAUCCUGGUUCCCAGGAGCCUUGGAAAUCCCUGAUGCUACCUCUGAAGAUGCCUGGAAUAGAAGAGGGGAGAGAGCCAUCUUUGCAGACAUUGGCAGCUCCUCAAACCUUGGCCUGCACCUUCUCUGUCCCCUACUUGGCAAUGGGACUUUGUUUUCUUAUUUCUACCUCCAUUCCUCCUCCAUCUUCUGCACACCCCAGAGUUGGUGCCUGGGAUUCAUCUGCUGCAGAAAUGACCCCUCCCAGCUAUGCCACAACAGGCCACAUCCUGUGCAUUUAAGAGGCAGAACAGACUGAGAGCACAAUCAGGAAGUCAGGUGUACAGGGAGAUCAAGACUGCUCAGCUGCCUUCCUCCCCCAGCACCUCCCCUCAGCUUCCAAGGCAUUUCAGCCCUCAUUGUUUCCCACCAGGAUGAGCUCCCACUGGGGGAGAGAGGUACUUCUAAU